rnacentral:rRNA from 1 species
UACGUAGGGUGCGAGCGUUGUCCGGAUUUAUUGGGUUUAAAGGGUGCGUAGGCGGGCCUUUAAGUCAGUGUUCAAAUACGAUGGCUUAACCAUUGGCAGGGCAUUGAUACUGGGGGUCUUGAGUUUGGUUGGGGCAGCCGGAAUUUGUCGUGUAGCGGUGAAAUGCUUAGAUACGACAAGGAACACCGAUCGCGAAGGCAGGUUGCAGGGCCAUAACUGACGCUGAGGCACGAAAGUGCGGGGAGCAAACAGG